UACGAAGGGUGCAAGCGUUACUCGGAAUUACUGGGCGUAAAGCGUGCGUAGGUGGUGAGUUAAGUCUGUCGUGAAAGCCCCGGGCUCAACCUGGGAAUGGCGAUGGAUACUGGCUCGCUAGAGUGCGGUAGAGGAGAGUGGAAUUCCCGGUGUAGCAGUGAAAUGCGUAGAUAUCGUGAGGAAGACCAGUGGCGAAGGCGGGUCUCUGGACAGUUCCUGACACUGAGGCACGAAGGCCAGGGGAGCAAACGGG
rnacentral:rRNA from 1 species